UUAAACAUAGGUCGUCGUAUUGACAAUAACCAGCUUUAAUGCUUUCAUGUCAAAAGCAUCCAACCGAAAGCUUCCUAUAUACUUAACAUACAUUAUUAGCUAACAAUAUGGUAGUUUUUUCAACAACAAAAAAUAUAGUUCUAAAUAUCAUUAUUCAGUUGUUUUACUUAAUUUUCAAUAAUAGAAGUUCAAUUAAAAAAUAAAAAAAAUCCAAUAUAAAUAUGAAAUUUUGAUUGUUCAGAAUAUCAUUAUUGAUUCUAUUAAAGAUAUAUCGUCGUAUUGACAAUAGCCAGCUUUAAUGCUCUCGUGUCAAAACCAUCCAACAGAAGGCUAUAUAUAUUAAAAGGAAACUAUAAUGGGUGUACAAAAAAAAAAAUUAAGUUUCC
rnacentral:lncRNA from 1 species